rnacentral:rRNA from 1 species
AGCUCCAAUAGCGUAUAUUAAAGUUGCUGCAGUUAAAAAGCUCGUAGUUGCAUUUCCGAGGCAAGGGAUUAGUCCGACCUUUGGUGGGUAUUUAAUCCUCUUGCCUCGUCCUUGAGUGGUGCUUCUUGGUAUUAAGUUAUCGAGGAGAUAGCCGCUCAUCGUUUACUGUGAGAAAAUUAGAGUGUUCAAAGCAGGCUUAUGCCGUUGAAUAUAUUAGCAUGGAAUAAUAUGAUAGGACCUCGGUACUAUUUUGUUGGUUUGAGAACCAAGGUAAUGAUGAAUAGGGACAGUUGGGAGUAUUCGUAUUCAGUUGUCAGAGGUGAAAUUCUUAGAUUUACGGAAGACGAACUACUGCGAAAGCAUUUACCAAGGAUGGUUUCA